GUAUGCGUAGAAGUGUUUGGCGUAAGCCUGCAUGGAGCCGCUAUUGGUACAGAUCUUGGUGGUAGUAGCAAAUAAUCGAAUGAGACCUUGGAGGACUGAAGUGGAGAAGGGUUUCGUGUGAACAGUGGUUGAUCACGAGUUAGUCGGUCCUAAGUUUAAGGCGAAAGCCGAAAAUUUUCAAGUUAUUAUUUAACAUAUAAUUAUUAUAUAAUAUAUAAUGUUUUAUAAUAUUUGAUAUACUUGAUUAUUUUGAACGAAAGGGAAUACGGUUCCAAUUCCGUAACCUGUUGAGUAUACGUUUGUUAUUAAAUAUGGGCUUUUAGCUCAUCCUGGCAACAGGAACAACCAUAGAGAAGCCGUCGAGAGAUAUCGGAAGAGUUUUCUUUUCUGUUUUAUAGUCGUACUACCAUGAAAUUCUUUCGAAGAGAGAUAUGGUAGAUGGACUAGAAGAGCAUGGCAUUUACUGCUGUGUCGAUAUUUUCUCCUCGGACCUUGAAAAUCUAUGGUGGGGUCACGCAAACAUCUCAACAGGCCGUACCGAUAUCCGCAGCUGGUCUCCAAGGUGAAGAGUCUCUAGUCGAUAGAAUAAUGUAGGUAAGGGAAGUCGGCAAAUUAGAUCCGUAACUUCGGGAUAAGGA
rnacentral:rRNA from 1 species